AUUUUCCGGUUGAUCCUGCCGGAGGUUACUGCUAUCGAGGUUCGACUAAGCCAUGCGAGUCGAAUGUAGCAAUACAUGGCGAACUGCUCAGUAACACGUGGACAACCUGCCCUUAGGUUGGGUAUAAACCCGGGAAACUGGGUAUAAUACCCGAUAGGUCUCGAUUGCUGGAAUGCAUCGAGAUUUAAAGCUCCGGCGCCUAAGGAUGGGUCUGCGGCCUAUCAGGUAGUAGUGGGUGUAGCGUACCUACUAGCCUACGACGGGUACGGGUUGUGAGAGCAAGAGCCCGGAGAUGGAUUCUGAGACACGAAUCCAGGCCCUACGGGGUGCAGCAGGCGCGAAAACUUUACAAUGCUGGCAACAGCGAUAAGGGAACCUCGAGUGCCAGGUUACAAAUCUGGCUGUCGAGAUGCCUAAAAAGCAUUUCAUAGCAAGGGCCGGGCAAGACCGGUGCCAGCCGCCGCGGUAACACCGGCGGCUCGAGUGGUAACCGUUAUUAUUGGGUCUAAAGGGUCUGUAGCCGGCCGGAUAAGUCUCUUGAGAAAUCUGGCAGCUUAACUGUCAGGCUUUCAGGAGAUACUGUCUGGCUCGAGGCCGGGAGAGGUGAGAGGUACUUCAGGGGUAGGGGUGAAAUCUUGUAAUCCUUGAAGGACCACCAGUGGCGAAGGCGUCUCACCAGAACGGACCUGACGGCAAGGGACGAAAGCUAGGGGCACGAACCGGAUUAGAUACCCGGGUAGUCCUAGCCGUAAACGAUACUCGCUAGGUGUCGGCCACGGUGCGACCGUUGUCGGUGCCGUAGGGAAGCCGUGAAGCGAGCCACCUGGGAAGUACGGCCGCAAGGCUGAAACUUAAAGGAAUUGGCGGGGGAGCACCACAACGGGUGGAGCUUGCGGUUUAAUUGGAUUCAACGCCGGAAAU
rnacentral:rRNA from 1 species